GUAAUGGAGAUCUUAUUCUGUUCUUUUCAGGUCAGUUGAACAUACUGAUGGUCAAAGUGUCCUAACAGACUCACUAUGGAGGCGGUAUAGUGAAUUUGAAUUGUUGAGAAACUACCUUUUAGUUUACUAUCCACAUAUUGUUGUGCCACCUCUACCAGAAAAAAGGGCAGAAUUUGUUUGGCAUAAACUUUCUGCUGACAACAUGGACCCGGAUUUUGUGGAAAGACGACGGAUUGGCUUAGAAAACUUUCUCUUGAGAGUUGCCUCACAUCCCAUCCUUUGUAGAGACAAAAUCUUCUAUUUGUUUUUAACACAGGAAGGUAACUGGAAGGAGACUGUGAAUGAAACUGGGUUUCAACUGAAGGUAAGAAUAUCUUUAUGAAA